GUCUUGCAUUGACAGUAUAGCGAAGCAGCGUAACCUACUCUGGAGUGUCGCAGAAUUUCACUAAAGCGAUUUAAUUUAACAAUAAAAAUCGGCUAAAAACAUUUACAAUUUUUUACAUCUGUACUGUUAAUUCGAAUAAAGAGUUUUGAGCAAAUACAAUUUUCCGAAAAUAUGAAACUACAGAUCUUCUUAUUUGUGUUCGUCAUAAUGGCUGCAUUUGGAGCUCCCAUGCACGGCGUUGCCACAAAAAAACUUGAACUUGCGACCGCUCCAAAUCAAGCAAGAAUAUUUUUCGGGAAAAAAGAGAAAUGCCGUCAUCGAAUCUGCCACUAACGGUGAAAAGCAUCGUGACUAUUUCUCAAUGGCUGACGGCCAUUAAAGUGUUCAGUCGAGAAAAAUAAUGGACCACACCGAAUUCAGGAAUGACUGCUCCUUCAUUAGUAAUGGUGCGAUGUGUAAUGGUGUUUUCAUUAAAUUCAAAUUCUAAAUUUUUUUCAUUUAACAACGGAACAACAAUAGAUGGAAGCAAUAUUUGUUAUUGAAGCCACCUCGGAUGCUCGUUUAUAACUUGUCAAAUUAAAAUAAAUAGUUACACUGACAAGCAGUAAUGAUAUAAGUCUAAUUUAGCAUUUUGCUUCACCAAAAAUAUUGUUUUUAAUUAAAAAUUAAAAUU